CCUACGGGAGGCAGCAGUGGGGAAUAUUGGACAAUGGGCGAAAGCCUGAUCCAGCCAUGCCGCGUGUGUGAAGAAGGCCUUCGGGUUGUAAAGCACUUUCAGUGGGGAAGAAAGCCUUGGGGCUAAUACCCUCGAGGAAGGACAUCACCCACAGAAGAAGCACCGGCUAACUCCGUGCCAGCAGCCGCGGUAAUACGGAGGGUGCGAGCGUUAAUCGGAAUUACUGGGCGAAAGCGCGCGUAGGCGGUCUGAUAAGCCGGUUGUGAAAGCCCCGGGCUCAACCUGGGAACGGCAUCCGGAACUGUCAGGCUAGAGUGCAGGAGAGGAAGGUAGAAUUCCCGGUGUAGCGGUGAAAUGCGUAGAGAUCGGGAGGAAUACCAGUGGCGAAGGCGGCCUUCUGGACUGACACUGACGCUGAGGUGCGAAAGCGUGGGUAGCAAACAGGAUUAGAUACCCGAGUAGUC
rnacentral:rRNA from 1 species